UUUGAUUCCUGCUCAGAUUGAACGCUGGCGGCAGGCCUAACACAUGCAAGUCGAGCGGCAGCACGGGAAGCUUGCUUCNUGGUGGCGAGCGGCGGACGGGUGAGUAAUGCAUAGGAAUCUGCCCGGUAGUGGGGGAUAACCUGGGGAAACCCAGGCUAAUACCGCAUACGCCCUACGGGGGAAAGCAGGGGCUCUUCGGACCUUGCGCUAUCGGAUGAGCCUAUGUCGGAUUAGCUGGUUGGUGAGGUAAUGGCUCACCAAGGCGACGAUCCGUAGCUGGUCUGAGAGGAUGAUCAGCCACAUCGGGACUGAGACACGGCCCGAACUCCUACGGGAGGCAGCAGUGGGGAAUAUUGGACAAUGGGCGCAAGCCUGAUCCAGCCAUGCCGCGUGUGUGAAGAAGGCCCUAGGGUUGUAAAGCACUUUCAGUGGGGAAGAAAGCC
rnacentral:rRNA from 1 species